rnacentral:rRNA from 1 species
AUUGAACGCUGGCGGCAUGCCUUACACAUGCAAGUCGAACGGCAGCACGGGUGCCUGCACCUGGUGGCGAGUGGCGAACGGGUGAGUAAUACAUCGGAACAUGUCCUGUAGUGGGGGAUAGCCCGGCGAAAGCCGGAUUAAUACCGCAUACGAUCCACGGAUGAAAGCGGGGGACCUUCGGGCCUCGCGCUAUAGGGUUGGCCGAUGGCUGAUUAGCUAGUUGGUGGGGUAAAGGCCUACCAAGGCGACGAUCAGUAGCUGGUCUGAGAGGACGACCAGCCACACUGGGACUGAGACACGGCCCAGACUCCUACGGGAGGCAGCAGUGGGGAAUUUUGGACAAUGGGCGAAAGCCUGAUCCAGCAAUGCCGCGUGUGUGAAGAAGGCCUUCGGGUUGUAAAGCACUUUUGACCGGAAAGAAAUCCUUGACUCUAAUACAGUCGGGGGAUGACGGUACCGGAAGAAUAAGCACCGGCUAACUACGUG